GCAGCUAUACAUGCAGUCGAGCGAAUGACGAGGAGCUUGCUCCUCUGAUUUAGCGGCGGACGGGUGAGUAACACGUGGGUAAUCUGCCUGUAAGACGGGGAUAACUCCGGGAAACCGGGGCUAAUACCGGAUAAUAAGAAGAAACGCAUGUUUCUUUUUUGAAAGUCGGUUUCGGCUGACACUUACAGAUGAGCCCGCGGCGCAUUAGCUAGUUGGUGAGGUAACGGCUCACCAAGGCGACGAUGCGUAGCCGACCUGAGAGGGUGAUCGGCCACACUGGGACUGAGACACGGCCCAGACUCCUACGGGAGGCAGCAGUAGGGAAUCUUCGGCAAUGGGCGAAAGCCUGACCGAGCAACGCCGCGUGAGCGAUGAAGGCCUUCGGGUCGUAAAGCUCUGUUGUUAGAGAAGAACAAGUACGAGAGUAACUGCUCGUACCUUGACGGUACCUAACCAGAAAGCCACGGCUAACUACGUGCCAGCAGCCGCGGUAAUACGUAGGUGGCAAGCGUUAUCCGGAAUUAUUGGGCGUAAAGCGCGCGCAGGCGGUCUCUUAAGUCUGAUGUGAAAGCCCACGGCUCAACCGUGGAGGGUCAUUGGAAACUGGGAGACUUGAGUGCAGGAGAGAAAAGUGGAAUUCCACGUGUAGCGGUGAAAUGCGUAGAGAUGUGGAGGAACACCAGUGGCGAAGGCGGCUUUUUGGCCUGUAACUGACGCUGAGGCGCGAAAGCGUGGGGAGCAAACAGGAUUAGAUACCCUGGUAGUCCACGCCGUAAACGAUGAGUGCUAGGUGUUGGGGGGGUUCCACCCUCAGUGCUGAAGUUAACACAUUAAGCACUCCGCCUGGGGAGUACGACCGCAAGGUUGAAACUCAAAGGAAUUGACGGGGGCCCGCACAAGCAGUGGAGCAUGUGGUUUAAUUCGAAGCAACGCGAAGAACCUUACCAGGUCUUGACAUCC
rnacentral:rRNA from 1 species